UCCCCGUGUCCCCCCGUGUCCCCAUGUCCUGGUGCCAUAAUGUCUUGGUGUCCCCAUAUCCUGGUGUCCCCAUGUCCCCCCAUGUCCCCAUGUCCCCAUGUCCCCAUGUCCUGGUGUCCCCAUGUCCUGGCAUCCCCAUGUCCCCCCAUGUCCUGAUGCCAUAAUGUCCUGGUGCCCUAAUUGUCCUGGUGUCCCCAUGUCCUGGUGUCCCCAUGUCCUGGCAUCCCCAUGUCCCCCCAUGUCCUGGUGUCUCCAUGUCCCAGUGUCCCCUCAUGUCCCCAUGUCCCAUAUCCUGGUGUCCCCAUGUCUUGGUGUCCCCGUGUCCUGGUGUCCCCAUGUCCCCCCAUAUCCUGGUGUCCCCGUGUCCCCCCGUGUCCCCAUGUCCUGGUGUCCCCAUGUCCUGGCGUCCCCAUGUCCCCCCAUGUCCUGGUGUCCCCUCACAUCCCCAUGUCCCAUAUCCUGGUGUCCCCGUUGUCCUGGUGUCCCCAUGUCCUGGCAUCCCCUUGUCCUCCAUGUCCCGGUGUCUCCAUGUCCUCAUGUCCCCAUGUCCUGGUGCCAUAAUGUCCUGGUGUCCCCAUGUCCCCGUGUCCCCCCGUGUCCCCAUGUCCUGGUGUCCCCGUGUCCUGGCAUCCCCAUGUCCCCCCAUGUCCUGGUGUCUCCAUGUCCCGGUGUCCCCUCAUGUCCCCAUGUCCCAUAUCCUGGUGUCCCCGUUGUCCUGGUGUCCCCAUGUCCCCCCAUGUCCUGGUGUCCCCAUGUCCCCAUGUCCCCUGUCCCCAAUCCUGGUGUCCCCAUGUCUUCGGGUCCCAGUGUCCCCAUGUCCUGGUGUCUCCAAGUUCUGGUGCCACGAUGUCCCAGUGUCCCCACGUCCCAUUGUCCCCAUGUCCCGGAGUCCCCAUGUCCCCUGUCCCCAAUCCUCGUGUCCCCACGUCCCCAUGUCCCAUUGCCCCCAUGUCCCUGUGCUGUCAUGUCCUAUUGUCCCCACGUCCCCAUGUCCAAUUGUCCUGGUGUUCCCACAUCCCCACUUCCUCCCUCCUCUCCCCAUCACCGUGUCCCCAUGUCCCCAUGUCCCCAUGUCCCCACGUCCCCAUGUCCCAUUGCCCCCAUGUCCCUGUGCUGUCAUGUCCUAUUGUCCCCACGUCCCCAUGUCCAAUUGUCCUGGUGUUCCCACAUCCCCACUUCCUCCCUCCUCUCCCCAUCACCGUGUCCCCAUGUCCCCAUGUCCCCAUGUCCCAUUGUCCCCACAUCCCUGUGCUGCGAUGCCCUAUUGUCCCCAUGUCCCCGUGUCCAAUUGU
rnacentral:lncRNA from 1 species